rnacentral:misc_RNA from 1 species
GAUGAAGAACGUAGCGAAAUGCGAUAAGUAAUGUGAAUUGCAGAAUUCAGUGAAUCAUCGAAUCUUUGAACGCACAUUGCGCCCGCCAGUAUUCUGGCGGGCAUGCCUGUCCGAGCGUCAUUUCAACCAUCAAGCCCCGGGCUUGUGUUGGGGACCUGCGUCCCACGCAGGCCCCGAAAACCAGUGGCGGGCUCGCUGUCCACACCGAGCGUAGUAGCUAACCUCGCUCCGGAGUGGCGCGGGCGCCUGCCGUAAAACCCCCCAAUUUUACAAGGUUGACCUCGGAUCAGGUAGGAAUACCCGCUGAACUUAAGCAUAUCAAUAAGCGGAGGA